rnacentral:rRNA from 1 species
AGAUGUGAUCAUACCAACACAAAUGCACCGAAUCCCAUCAGAACUUCGUUGUUAAGCGUGCUUGGUUCUUUUUAUUUGUACUAGGAAUUAUGGUUGGAACGGAUUUCAAUUA